rnacentral:rRNA from 1 species
GAAUCUUGGACAAUGGGGGCAACCCUGAUCCAGCGACGCCGCGUGGGUGAUGAAGGCCUUCGGGUUGUAAAGCCCUUUCACCGGGGACGAUGAUGACGGUACCCGGAGAAGAAGCACCGGCUACCUCCGUUCCCGCAGCCGCGGUAAGACGGAGGGUGCUAGCGUUGUUCGGAAUCACUGGGCGUAAAGGGCGCGUAGGCGGCGUCGCAAGUCGGCUGUGAAAGCCCGGGGCUCAACCCCGGAGGUGCAGCCGAGACUGCGGUGCUCGAGGCCGGAAGAGGAGGGUGGAAUACCCAGUGUAGAGGUGAAAUUCGUAGAUAUUGGGUGGAACACCGGUGGCGAAAGUGGCUCUCUGGUCCGGUACUGACGCUGAGGUGCGAAAGCGUGGGGAGCAAACAGG